AUAUUUCUGACACAAUACAACAUGGAGAACUUUAAAGGCAUUGUUACAGGCUCUGUGAGGUGGUGUCAAAAGUCCAGACCAACCAGGUUUGCAUAAGGAGACCCUGGUCAGAAAGGCCAGGAAUAGUACACAUCUGUGAUCCUAGUCCCUGGCAUGUGUAGGCAGGAGGGUCAGGAAUUCACAACUACAGGAGACACUCACUGUCUAAGGUAAAACUGUCCCCAAAAUAGUUUCCGUUUUAUAAGUUGAGACAAGUUCUAGAAAUUAGCCAACAUGAAUGUACUUAGUCCCUUGAAAUAUAGACUUCAAGCUAGUUCCACUCUGAGUAUUGCUUUCUGUAUAGCAUAGUGUCACAAUUAGGUACAUUAGUUUUGUUUUAAAAUGUGGUCUCCCUUUGUAGGCCAGAUGGUCUGUAACUAGAUAUAUAGAUCAAGAUGGUUCCUCUCCCAAGCACUGAAUUCACAGGUAUGCAUCACCGUGCUCAGUUCCAUUACAGUUUUAAAAAAGAAAAAUGGGGCUGGGGAUUUAGCUCAGUGGUAGAGCGCUUACCUAGGAAGCGCAAGGCCCUGGGUUCGGUCCCCAGCUCCGAAAAAAAGAACCAAAAAAAAAAAAAAAAG
rnacentral:lncRNA from 1 species